rnacentral:lncRNA from 1 species
ACCAAGAAUCAGCCCAUCGAUGCAUUUGGUGUUGAGGCUGCUAUAUCUUUGAUCAAAAUGUUUCAAUAGGUACUGCUGUACAAUAUUUGGCCUCAUGUGCAACAGUAAGUGUUAUUAAAAAUCCUCCAGUGCCUAUUAAUACAUCAAUGCAGGAUAUCCCAUCCCAAACUUCAGACAAAUUGGUGCAACAAAAAUGUACUAAUCCUAAUGUGAGUGGGAAAGAUGCAGUAUUUCAGUCAAAUUUGAGUAGUACCGCUACUGGUAGUUGUGAUAAUAUAAGGGAAGCUGAAAUAUUUAGUCCAAAUGUGCAAGAGCCACUAAGCUAUCACCUCCUUCACUGAUACAUUGUGCUUUGAAUACCUUGUGCAGACUGAACAUGGCUAUCACUGAUGAGCACGCUGCUUCUGUUCCUCUGUCAAGAAUUUCCAAGGCCUCCAUUGUUGAUUUUGAUGCCAAAGUUGACGACACUAGCUAUUGAAAAUAAUUACAAGGGCAUGAGAAUAAUGCUUUAGGAAGUGGCAUUAUAAUAUCAACUUUCCUAAA